UCGAGAAUCUUCGGCAAUGAGCGCAAGCUUGACCGAGCGACGCCGCGUGCGGGAUGAAGGCCCUCGGGUUGUAAACCGCUGUCGUAGGGGAGGAAAUCAACGAGGGUACUCCCUCGUAGUUGACCUAUCCUAGGAGGAAGGACGGGCUAAGUUCGUGCCAGCAGCCGCGGUAAUACGAACCGUCCAAACGUUAUUCGGAAUUACUGGGCUUAAAGGGUUCGUAGGCGGCCUUGUAAGUGGGGUGUGAAAUCCCUCGGCUCAACCGAGGAAUAGCGCUCCAAACUACAUGGCUUGAGGGAGACAGGGGUAAGCGGAACUGAUGGUGGAGCGGUGAAAUGCGUUGAUAUCAUCAGGAACACCGGUGGCGAAAGCGGCUUACUGGGUCUCUUCUGACGCUGAGGAACGAAAGCUAGGGUAGCGAACGG
rnacentral:rRNA from 1 species